rnacentral:piRNA from 2 species
UCAAGGUCUUGAUGUGCAUAGCUUCU